CCUACGGGUGGCAGCAGUGGGGAAUAUUGGGCAAUGGACGCAAGUCUGACCCAGCAACGCCGCGUGAAGGAAGAAGGCUUUCGGGUUUUAAACUUCUUUUAAGGUGGAAGAGCAGAAGACGGUACCCCUUGAAUAAGCUACGGCUAACUACGUGCCAGCAGCCGCGGUAGUACGUAGGUGGCAAGCGUUGUCCGGAUUUACUGGGUGUAAAGGGCGUGCAGCCGGGGAGAUAAGUCAGAUGUGAAAUCCUGCGGCUUAACCGCAGAACUGCAUUUGAAACUGUUGUUCUUGAGUACUGGAGAGGCAGACGGAAUUCGUGGUGUAGCGGUGAAAUGCGUAGAUAUUAGGAGGAACACCAAUGGCGAAGGCAGUCUGCUGGACAGCAACUGACGCUGAGGCGCGAAAGUGUGGGGAGCAAACAGGAUUAGAUACCCUAGUAGUC
rnacentral:rRNA from 1 species